rnacentral:rRNA from 1 species
AGUGAACGCUGGCGGUAGGCCUAACACAUGCAAGUCGAACGGCAGCACAGUAAGAGCUUGCUCUUACGGGUGGCGAGUGGCGGACGGGUGAGGAAUGCAUCGGAAUCUACUUUUUCGUGGGGGAUAACGUAGGGAAACUUACGCUAAUACCGCAUACGACCUACGGGUGAAAGCAGGGGAUCUUCGGACCUUGCGCGAUUGAAUGAGCCGAUGUCGGAUUAGCUAGUUGGCGGGGUAAAGGCCCACCAAGGCGACGAUCCGUAGCUGGUCUGAGAGGAUGAUCAGCCACACUGGAACUGAGACACGGUCCAGACGACUACGGGAGGCAGCAGUGGGGAAUAUUGGACAAUGGGCGCAAGCCUGAUCCAGCCAUACCGCGUGGGUGAAGAAGGCCUUCGGGUUGUAAAGCCCUUUUGUUGGGAAAGAAAAGCAGCAGGUUAAUACCCAGCUGUUCUGACGGUACCCAAAGAAUAAGCACCGGCUAACUUCGUG